UUUGUUCUGCAGCUGACAGCCUUGUUGACCGUUGCAACUGUUUCUUAUUAGCUUAGAAUUCGAACCUGGCACUUGAUAAGUCUAGGGUGUGUCGUCAGACGUACUUGAUCUGUCGUUUUACGUAAACAAUGUGCUUAUAUAGGGGGUUGGGGCACAACUGCAUUUUUUAUAUUUUGGGAGAUCAAUUUGUACUUUUUUCAUCUUACAAUUUGAGGUUUUCUGGUCGCUUUUCACAGCCAGUAGCCAGAGACUGGAAUCACAGAGUGCGAGCCCGGCAAGAUCAAUACACAGUGAAAUGUCGCAAGCUGCACUAAUGCGAGACAUCUCCAAACAGGUGCUAGUGGUUCGUCCCAGUCGUCUAGCACUUCGAUAAACACGCUGGCUCCCAGUCCACAAGAUAAAGGUGCCUGUGGUUCGUUCCAGACACCUAAAACGUCAACAAGGACACCGGCUCCCAGUUCACGAAAUAAAGAUGCCAGUGGUUUUUCAACCGCAUCUCAAACAUUGACAAGGAUGUCGGCUCCCAGUCGAUUAGAUCAAGGUACUUUACUGCAGAAUUGUGUUGCAGCUGCGUAUUAAGAUAUUUUGUGUGUCCUUCAUUAAAUUUUUUCAG